GACAGAGGGUGCAAACGUUGCUCGGAAUCACUGGGCGUAAAGGGUGCGUAGGCGGGUCUUUAAGUCCGGGGUGAAAUCCUGGAGCUCAACUCCAGAACUGCCUUUGAUACUGAGGAUCUUGAGUUCGGGAGAGGUGAGUGGAACUGCGAGUGUAGAGGUGAAAUUCGUAGAUAUUCGCAAGAACACCUGUGGCGAAGGCGGCUCACUGGCCCGAUACUGACGCUGAGGCACGAAAGCGUGGGGAGCAAACAGG
rnacentral:rRNA from 1 species